GUUCGCCUACCAGGUAAUGCUGGGGACUCUAAAGGAACUGCCUACGCAAGUAGUGAGGAAGGCGGGGAUGACGUCAAAUCAGCACGGCCCUUACGUCCAGGGCUACACACGUGCUACAAUGGCCGAUACAGAGGGCAGCUACCUGGUGACAGGAUGCAAAUCUACCAAAGUCGGUCUCAGUUCGGAUCGGAGUCUGCAACCCGACUCCGUGAAGUUGGAUUCGCUAGUAAUCGCGCAUCAGCCAUGGCGCGGUGAAUACGUUCCCGGGCCUU
rnacentral:rRNA from 1 species